CUGGGUUUGACAUGGCCGCAAAACUGUCAGAGAUGGCAGGUCCUUCGGGGGCGGUCACAGGUGGUGCAUGGCUGUCGUCAGCUCGUGUCGUGAGAUGUUGGGUUAAGUCCCGCAACGAGCGCAACCCUCGUCCCAUGUUGCCAGCAAUUCGGUUGGGGACUCAUGGGAGACUGCCGGGGUCAACUCGGAGGAAGGUGGGGAUGACGUCAAGUCAUCAUGCCCCUUAUGUCCAGGGCUUCACGCAUGCUACAAUGGCCGGUACAAACCGUUGCGAGCCCGUGAGGGGGAGCGAAUCGGAAAAAGCCGGUCUCAGUUCGGAUCGGGGUCUGCAACUCGACCCCGUGAAGUCGGAGUCGCUAGUAAUCGCAGAUCAGCAACGCUGCGGUGAAUA
rnacentral:rRNA from 1 species